UGGGGAAUAUUGCACAAUGGGCGCAAGCCUGAUGCAGCAACGCCGCGUGAACGAUGAAGGUCUUCGGAUCGUAAAGUUCUGUUGCAGGGGAAGAUAAUGACGGUACCCUGUGAGGAAGCCCCGGCUAACUACGUGCCAGCAGCCGCGGUAAUACGUAGGGGGCUAGCGUUAUCCGGAUUUACUGGGCGUAAAGGGUGCGUAGGUGGUCUUUCAAGUCGGUGGUUAAAGGCUACGGCUCAACCGUAGUUAGCCUCCGAAACUGGAAGACUUGCGUGCAGGAGAGGAAAGUGGAAUUCCCAGUGUAGCGGUGAAAUGCGUAGAUAUUGGGAGGAACACCAGUAGCGAAGGCGGCUUUCUGGACUGCAACUGACACUGAGGCACGAAAGCGUGGGUAGCAAACAGG
rnacentral:rRNA from 1 species